CCAGCUAUUCAAAAUUUUAAAACUCAAGGAGGCAAGACUCUUGUUUACAAAGGGAGUAAUCAAACUUAAACUAGCAUCCAGAUUCACAAGCCUAGCAUAGCCCUGUGGUAGAAUAGAAUUGGUCUCUAGCCAAGAUGCCUAAUGUACAUUUCAAAUGUCACAACUCCUUCCUCAACUGCCUUGUCCAUUGCAAUUGCAUACAUCAACUCCUCUAUUGCCCUAUCUGCAGCCAAGCACUUCAAAAUUCCUCAUCUCAUCUGCAGCUUCAAAAACAUCCUCGACUGAAUAAUUACAAGUAGCUUUGUGAUCAUGAAUUCUUGUUGAAUUUGAUGAAACAAACACAAUAUAAGGGUAAUUUUCAUGAAGCCAAAUACAAAGGAGUUGAAUUGGAAACAUGGAGAUCACCUCUUGCAUUUAAAAGAAGACUUAAAAAAGAUAGUUGAAGUCAAUCUUUAUUAACAACAGAUCUUUAGUGAUUGGAGGUUUCUAAUUUGAUUUUGAAACAAGUUAACUAAUUGAACUCAGCUCUGCAUUUGUUUUUUUUAGUGAUAGGAUUCAUCAGUUUGGGCUUGACCAAUUCCAUAAUCAAUUUUAUCAUAUAGUAUAUUUUUUUAGUGAAUUUAAUUUAAAAUAUAUUGUUCUGUCUCAUCUCAAAUUAAGUCACUUGCCCAUGGCAUCGGACCACAAAAACAAAAUAGCACAUGCCUUUUACCUUGACAAAUAUUCUCUACCUUUACCGGAUUCUGGGGAUACUGCAAUUUCAAUUUGAAGGAUGCCGGACGGACCACAUAUAUG
rnacentral:lncRNA from 1 species